rnacentral:tRNA from 1 species
GUGGGUCCAGCUCAGUGGUAAAGCAUGUGCUUAGCAUGCACAAGGUCCUGGGUUCCAGCCUCAGUACCUCCA